AGGAGCGCCCCUGCCCGGCUGCCCCGUCUGGGAAGUGAGGAGCGCCUCUGCCCGGCUGCCCCGUCUGGGAUGUGAGGAGCGCCUCUGCCCGGCCGCCCAUCAUCUGGGAUGUGAGGAGCGCCUCUGCCCAGCCGCCCAUCGUCUGGGAUGUGAGGAGCGCCUUUGCCCAGCCGCCCCGUCUGGGAAGUGAGGAGCGCCUCUGCCCGGCCGCCACCCCGUCUAGGAAGUGAGGAGCGGCUCUGCCCGGCCGCCCCGUCUGGGAAGAAGUGAGGAGCGUCUCUGCCCGGCCGCCCCAUCUGGGAAGUGAGGAGCGCCUCUGCCUGGCCGCCCCGUCUGGGAUGUGGGGAGCGCCUCUGCCCGGCCGCCCCAUCUGGGAGGUCUACCACGGAGGCCAGACGCAAUGUGGGGGCUGGAUGUGGUGGCUCACACCUGUAGUCCCAGCACUCUGGGAGGCCGAGGCGGGUUGAUCACUUGAGGCUAGGAGUUCGAGACCAGCCUGGCCAACAUGGCGAAACAUAUGAAAAAUACAACAGACAAACCAACCAACCAACCCAGCGACAACAAAACAGGUCUACCCUGGAGUCAUACUCUAAUUUUUUCUAUUUUCCUCCCUUUCUGAUCCUUUAUCCCACUUGCUUUUUCUUCCUCUUCCUUCUCCUUAGUCAAAUAGAGGAUUGAGUUAUUAUCAUUGAUCCAUACAAAGUCCCUCUCUCAUUUAUUUUCUUUAAUUCCCAUCCCCCAUUUCUAUUUCCCAUCUUCCCAUGUGCAACCUUCCUAAUAUGUUUGAUAUGCAUCUUUUUGUUUGUAUGUAUUUUUAGAAAAUGUUUAUUGUUUUGUGUGCAAAAAAAAUUAAUAAAAAAAGAAAAAAAAGAAA